AAUCCAUGAUGUAGGCACUUUCUUAACAUCCUCUUGAAGUGCUUUCAUGCCUCGUAAGGGAUUCACCUUCAUAUUGUUUAAAAUUGGCAAUUUCUCACCCAAGCU
rfam:Gossypium arboreum cultivar AKA8401 contig_3357_9, whole genome shotgun sequence.